rnacentral:rRNA from 1 species
GCCGGGGGCGGCUACACAUGCAGUCGAGCGAGACCUUCGGGUCUAGCGGCGGACGGGUGAGUAACGCGUGGGAACGUACCCUUUUCUGCAGGAUAGCCACUGGAAACGGUGAGUAAUACUGCAUACGCCCUUCGGGGGAAAGAUUUAUCGGAGAAGGAUCGGCCCGCGUUAGAUUAGGUAGUUGGUGGGGUAAUGGCCUACCAAGCCUACGAUCUAUAGCUGGUUUGAGAGGAUGAUCAGCCACACUGGGACUGAGACACGGCCCAGACUCCUACGGGAGGCAGCAGUGGGGAAUCUUAGACAAUGGGGGCAACCCUGAUCUAGCCAUGCCGCGUGAGUGAUGAAGGCCUUAGGGUCGUAAAGCUCUUUCGCUGGGGAAGAUAAUGACGGUACCCAGUAAAGAAACCCCGGCUAACUCCGUGCCAGCAGCCGCGGUAAU